rnacentral:snRNA from 1 species
GUGCUUGCUUCAGCAGCACAUAUACUAAAAUUGGAAAGAUACAGAGAAGAUUAGCAUGGCCCCUGCACAAGGAUAACAUGCAAAUUCAUGAAACGUUCCACAUUUUU